ensembl:snRNA U1 U1 spliceosomal RNA
AUACUUACCUGGUGGGGGAGAUACCAUGAUCCCCAAGGUGGUUUGCCCAGGGCGAGCCUUAUCUGUUGCACUCCGGAUGUGCUGACCCCUGAAAUUUCCACAAAUGUGGGAAACUCAACUGCGUAAUUUGUGGUAGUUGGGGACUGCAUUUGCACUUUCCCCUG